rnacentral:tRNA from 1 species
GGAGAGGUGUCCGAGUGGUUUAAGGAGCCGGUCUUGAAAACCGGUGAUGCUGAAAGGCACCGUGGGUUCGAAUCCCACCCUCUCCGCCA